ACAGAUUAAUUCAAACAUUAUGAUGCAUCGCCUGUAAGGAUAUCACUGGGGUUCGGACGACCUGACAUGAUGACUCCUUGCUGUCCCCAGUCCACCUGGCCAUGCUGCUGCUCCAGUUUCAACUGUUCUGCCUUACUAUUAUUUUACCAUGCUGGUCAUUUAUUAACAUUUGAACAUCUUGGCCAUGUUCUGUUAUAAUCUCCACCCGGCACAGCCAGAAGAGGACUGGCCACCCCACAUAUGCUCUCUCUAAUUCUCUCUUUCUUUCUCUCUCUCGGAGGACCUGAGCCCAAGGACCGUGCCCCAGGACGACCUGACACGAUGACUCCUUGCUGUCCCCAGUCCACCUGACUGUGCUGCUGCUCCAGUUUCAACUGUUCUGCCUUGUUAUUAUUCGACCAUGCUGGUCAUUUAUUAAUAAUAAUAAUAAUAAUAAUAUAUGCCAUUUAGCAUUUGAACAUCUUGGCCAUGUUCUGUUAUAAUCUCCACCCGGCACAGCCAGAAGAGGACUGGCCACCCCACAUAGCCUGGUUCCUCUCUAGGUUUCUUCCUAGGUUUUGGCCUUUCUAGGGAGUUUUUCCUAGCCACCGUGCUUCUACACCUGCAUUGCUUGCUGUUUGGGGUUUUAGGCUGGGUUUCUGUACAGCACUUUGAGAUAUCAGCGGAUGUACGAAGGGCUAUAUAAAUACAUUGUUGACCCGGUAGGUAUUAGAUAUCACUGGGGUUCUGACAGAUGUUGGCCCGGUAGGUAGUAGAUAUCACUGGGGUUCUGACAGAUGUUGACCCGGUAGGUAUUAGAUAUCACUGGGGUUCAGAUGUUGACCCGGUGGGUAUUAGAUAUCACUGGGGUUCAGAUGUUGACCCGGUGGGUAUUAGAUAUCACUGGGGUUCAGAUGUUGACCCGGUAGGUAUUAGAUAUCACUGGGGUUCUGACAGAUGUUGACCCGGUGGGUAUUAGAUAUCACUGGGGUUCUGACAGAUGUUGACCCGGUAGGUAUUAGAUAUCACUGGGGUUCUGACAGAUGUUGACCCGGUAGGUAGUAGAUAUCACUGGGGUUCUGACAGAUGUUGACCCGGUAGGUAUUAGAUAUCACUGGGGUUCAGAUGUUGACCCGGUAGGUAUUAGAUAUCACUGGGGUUCUGACAGAUGUUGACCCGGUAGGUAUUAGAUAUCACUGGGGUUCUGACAGAUGUUGACCCGGUGGGUAUUAGAUAUCACUGGGGUUCAGAUGUUGACCCGGUGGGUAUUAGAUAUCACUGGGGUUCUGACAGAUGUUGACCCGGUGGGUAUUAGAUAUCACUGGGGUUCAGAUGUUGACCCGGUGGGUAUUAGAUAUCACUGGGGUUCAGAUGUUGACCCGGUAGGUAUUAGAUAUCACUGGGGUUCAGAUGUUGACCCGGUAGGUAUUAGAUAUCACUGGGGUUCUGACAGAUGUUGACCCGGUAGGUAUUAGAUAUCACUGGGGUUCUGACAGAUGUUGACCCGGUGGGUAUUAGAUAUCACUGGGGUUCAGAUGUUGACCCGGUGGGUAUUAGAUAUCACUGGGGUUCAGAUGUUGACCCGGUAGGUAUUAGAUAUCACUGGGGUUCAGAUGUUGACCCGGUAGGUAUUAGAUAUCACUGGGGUUCAGAUGUUGACCCGGUAGGUAUUAGAUAUCACUGGGGUUCAGAUGUUGACCCGGUAGGUAUUAGAUAUCACUGGGGUUCUGACAGAUGUUGACCCGGUGGGUAUUAGAUAUCACUGGGGUUCUGACAGAUGUUGACCCGGUAGGUAUUAGAUAUCACUGGGGUUCUGACAGAUGUUGACCCGGUAGGUAUUAGAUAUCACUGGGGUUCUGACAGAUGUUGACCCGGUAGGUAUUAGAUAUCACUGGGGUUCAGAUGUUGACCCGGUGGGUAUUAGAUAUCACUGGGGUUCAGAUGUUGACCCGGUAGGUAUUAGAUAUCACUGGGGUUCAGAUGUUGACCCGGUAGGUAUUAGAUAUCACUGGGGUUCAGAUGUUGACCCGGUAGGUAUUAGAUAUCACUGGGGUUCAGAUGUUGACCCGGUGGGUAUUAGAUAUCACUGGGGUUCUGACAGAUGUUGACCCGGUAGGUAUUAGAUAUCACUGGGGUUCUGACAGAUGUUGACCCGGUAGGUAGUAGAUAUCACUGGGGUUCUGACAGAUGUUGACCCGGUAGGUAUUAGAUAUCACUGGGGUUCUGACAGAUGUUGACCCGGUAGGUAUUAGAUAUCACUGGGGUUCAGAUGUUGACCCGGUAGGUAUUAGAUAUCACUGGGGUUCUGACAGAUGUUGACCCGGUGGGUAUUAGAUAUCACUGGGGUUCAGAUGUUGACCCGGUAGGUAUUAGAUAUCACUGGGGUUCUGACAGAUGUUGACCCGGUGGGUAUUAGAUAUCACUGGGGUUCUGACAGAUGUUGACCCGGUAGGUAUUAGAUAUCACUGGGGUUCUGACAGAUGUUGACCCGGUGGGUAUUAGAUAUCACUGGGGUUCAGAUGUUGACCCGGUAGGUAUUAGAUAUCACUGGGGUUCUGACAGAUGUUGACCCGGUGGGUAUUAGAUAUCACUGGGGUUCUGACAGAUGUUGACCCGGUAGGUAUUAGAUAUCACUGGGGUUCUGACAGAUGUUGACCCGGUGGGUAUUAGAUAUCACUGGGGUUCAGAUGUUGACCCGGUGGGUAUUAGAUAUCACUGGGGUUCUGACAGAUGUUGACCCGGUGGAUAUUAAUGAAGGUGCAUUCUGAACUCUUAAUAAACUGAUUUCUGCUUUUCCAUCACAUUAAAACGGACUGAAUGAAGUAAUGUACCACUAUUACACUUUAAUAUAUAGCUAGAAGAUUAUUAGUGUUGGGGUUUAACUAUCAGGUUAUUGUUGUGGAGCCUUAGCUACAAGGUUGGGGUUUAACUAUCAGGUUAUUUUUGUGAGGCUUUAGCUACAAGGUUGGGGUUUAACUAUCAGGUUAUUGUUGUGAGGCUUUAGCUACAAGGUUGGGGUUUAACUAUCAGGUUAUUGUUGUGAGGCUUUAGCUACAAGGUUGGGGUUUAACUAUCAGGUUAUUGUUGUGAGGCUUUAGCUACAAGGUUGGGGUUUAACUAUCAGGUUAUUGUUGUGAGGCUUUAGCUACAAGGUUGGGGUUUAACUAUCAGGUUAUUGUUGUGAGGCUUUAGCUACAAGGUUGGGGUUUAACUAUCAGGUUAUUGUUGUGAGGCUUUAGCUACAAGGUUGGGGUUUAACUAUCAGGUUAUUGUUGUGAGGCUUUAGCUACAAGGUUGGGGUUUAACUAUCAGGUUAUUGUUGUGAGGCUUUAGCUACAAGGUUGGGGUUUAAC